rnacentral:rRNA from 1 species
UACGGAGGAUGCGAGCGUUAUCCGGAUUUAUUGGGUUUAAAGGGUGCGUAGGCGGACUGUCAAGUCAGCGGUAAAAUUGAGAGGCUCAACCUCUUCCCGCCGUUGAAACUGGUGGUCUUGAGUGGAUGAGAAGUACGCGGAAUGCGUGGUGUAGCGGUGAAAUGCAUAGAUAUCACGUAGAACUCAGAUUGCGAAGGCAGCGUACCGGCAUCCAACUGACGCUGAGGCACGAAAGCGUGGGGAUCAAACAGG